GUGGGGAUGGCUGAGUUGGUCUAAGGCGCUAGAUUCAGGUUCUAGUCCAAAAGGGUGUGGGUUCAAAUCCCACUCCCCAGA